rnacentral:rRNA from 2 species
GCAUAUCAAUAAGCGGAGGAAAAGAAACCAACAGGGAUUGCCUCAGUAACGGCGAGUGAAGCGGCAAAAGCUCAAAUUUGAAAUCCUCCGGGAGUUGUAAUUUGAAGGACCUAUUGAAACCCUGAAAGAGCAUAAAGUCCAUUGGAAAAUGGCGCCAUAGAAGGUGACAGCCCUGUAUAUCCCUCUUUCAGUAUAUUCUCUAGGCCCAAAGAGUCGAGUUGUUUGGGAAUGCAGCUCUAAGUGGGUGGUAAAUUCCAUCUAAAGCUAAAUAUUGGCGAGAGACCGAUAGCGAACAAGUACAGUGAUGGAAAGAUGAAAAGCACUUUGAAAAGAGAGUGAAAAAGUACGUGAAAUUGUUGAAAGGGAAGGGCUUGCAAUCAGACACAACCUCGGUUGGGCCAGCAGUAGGGCGGGGGGAAACAAAAAAGGAAAGGAAUGUGGCUCUCCCGAGUGUUAUAACCUCUCCCAAUUUUUCCACCCCAUCCCACUUCUGGCGUAAUGGUUGCAAGUCGCCCGUCUUGAAACACGGACC